GAUGAACGCUGGCGGCGUGCCUAAUACAUGCAAGUCGAGCGAAGCGGGGACGGGUGAGUAACACGUGGAUCACAUCCUAUAAGACUGGGAUAACUUCGGGAAACCGGGGCUAAACCGGUUACUUAUAGAUGGAUCCGCGCUGCAUUAGCUAGUUGGUAAGGUAACGGCUUACAAAGGCAACGAUGCAUAGCCGACCUUGGAGGGUGAUCGGCCACACUGGAACUGAGACACGUUCCAGACUCCGACGGGAGGCAGCAGUAGGGAAUCUUCCGCAAUGGGCGAAAGCCUGACGGAGCAACGCCGCGUGAGUGAUGAAGGGCGUCGGAUCGUAAAACUCUGUUAUUAGGGAAGCGGUACCUAAUCAGAAAGCCACGGCUAACUACGUGCCAGCAGCCGCGGUAAUAC
rnacentral:rRNA from 1 species